CAGAGUUAGGAAAAUUCUAUCCUCUUAGUCAAAAUUUAUCUGAUGAAGUUCAUUAUAAUCGUUAAUAAGUGGAAAUAAAUGAAAAUUAGUAUAAAUCUUUCCAGAGCAAAACUUUUGCUUGCUAAAAUCUGCUAUUGAAGCCUUCUGUGGAUUUCUCCCCAUCCCUGGACAGGCCCUGGUGUGUGACGUUCCCUCCCUGUGUCCAUGUGUUCUCAUUACAAUGCAGUAUUUUAAGAACAUUUUGUGUUAGCCCUCUUGCAUCAGCAAGCCACACCAGGAAAGCAGGUUUCUGUCCCCAUGGCUGCCACUUUGCUGGGAAAUGGGGGACAUUAGGGCCCAGGUGUAAAAGAAACCCUUAUCUCGGACAUGCCCUUUCCAUCACAGAGUGGAGACAGUAUGGGCAAAACCACCUGGUGAUUCUUGGAUACAGUGAAGUCACAUUACAAAAGCUAAUGACAAUGAUUUGAGGAAAUUGAAUUCUCACAGGGA
rnacentral:lncRNA from 1 species